rnacentral:rRNA from 1 species
ACUCCUACGGGAGGCAGCAGUGGGAAUAUUGCACAAUGGGGGAAACCCUGAUGCAGCCAUGCCGCGUGUGUGAAGAAGGCCUUGGGUUGUAAAGCACUUUCAGUAGGGAGGAAGGUAGUGUAGUUAACACCUGCAUUAUUUGACGUUACCUACAGAAGAAGCACCGGCUAACUCCGUGCCAGCAGCCGCGGUAAUACGGAGGGUGCGAGCGUUAAUCGGAAUUACUGGGCGUAAAGCGCAUGCAGGCGGCCUGUUAAGUCAGAUGUGAAAGCCCGGGGCUUAACCUCGGAAUUGCAUUUGAAACUGGCAGGCUAGAGUCUUGUAGAGGGGUUAGAAUUUCAGGUGUAGCGGUGAAAUGCGUAGAGAUCUGAAGGAAUACCGAGUGGCGAAGGCGGCCCCUGGACAAAGACUGACGCUCAGAUGCGAAAGCGUGGGAGCAAACAGGAUUAGAUA